rnacentral:rRNA from 1 species
GACGAACGCUGGCGGCGUGCUUAACACAUGCAAGUCGUACGGUAAGGCCCUUUCGGGGGUACACGAGUGGCGAACGGGUGAGUAACACGUGAGUAACCUGCCCACAACUUUGGGAUAACGCUAGGAAACUGGUGCUAAUACUGGAUAUGUGCUCCUGCUGCAUGGUGGGGGUUGGAAAGCUCCGGCGGUUGUGGAUGGACUCGCGGCCUAUCAGCUUGUUGGUGGGGUAGUGGCCUACCAAGGCGGCGACGGGUAGCCGGCCUGAGAGGGUGACCGGCCACAUUGGGACUGAGAUACGGCCCAGACUCCUACGGGAGGCAGCAGGGGGGAAUAUUGCACAAUGGGCGCAAGCCGGAUGCAGCAACGCCGCGUGCGGGAGGACGGCCUUCGGGUUGGAAACCGCUUUCAGCAGGGACGAAGCUUUUUGUGACGAUACCUGCAGAAGAAGCACCGGCUAACUACGUG